AGUGAACGCUGGCGGUAGGCCUAACACAUGCAAGUCGAACGGCAGCACAGUAAGAGCUUGCUCUUACGGGUGGCGAGUGGCGGACGGGUGAGGAAUACAUCGGAAUCUACUUUUUCGUGGGGGAUAACGUAGGGAAACUUACGCUAAUACCGCAUACGACCUACGGGUGAAAGCAGGGGAUCUUAGGACCUUGCGCGAUUGAAGGAGCCGAUGUCGGAUUAGCUAGUUGGCGGGGUAAAGGCCCACCAAGGCGACGAUCCGUAGCUGGUCUGAGAGGAUGAUCAGCCACACUGGAACUGAGACACGGUCCAGACUCCUACGGGAGGCAGCAGUGGGGAAUAUUGGACAAUGGGCGCAAGCCUGAUCCAGCCAUGCCGCGUGGGUGAAGAAGGCCUUCGGGUUGUAAAGCCCUUUUGUUGGGAAAGAAAAGCAGCAGGUUAAUACCCCGCUGUUCUGACGGUACCCAAAGAAUAAGCACCGGCUAACUUCGUG
rnacentral:rRNA from 1 species